CGGGCUAUAGCGCAGUUGGUAGCGCGCGUCGUUCGGGACGACGAGGCCGUGGGUUCGAGUCCCACUAGCCCGACCA
rnacentral:tRNA from 1 species